GUAGGUGAACCUGCGGAAGGAUCAUUAACACGUAUCCAAACGUUAAAACCCCCCUGUGAACCUUCAAAACCAAUGCUGCUCCCUACACGUACACGGGGCAAUCUCUAGUAAAUCAUUGUCUUAAUCAGAUUUUGAGUUAGAGACUUCCCUCCAGGGGUAGGGAUUGAGCGGUCUAGUAUUAUACACGUCCCGGCGCUCCCAAGUGGCCCAUUGAUCUGAAAGUGUUCAGUGAGUUGCGUAAGAGUUGGCGCUGUCAACGUUCACUGGAGGCCCACACGGCCGGUGUCCGGGGCCUAUGCUGCGUUUCUAUUGCGUGGUCUGUGUAACGAUUUGACGAUACGACGGCGCGCGCCGAAAGGUUGUACGCAUUUUUAAAACGAACAACUGUUAACAAUGGAUAUCUUGGUUCUC
rnacentral:misc_RNA from 1 species